ACGAACGCUGGCGGCGUGCUUAACACAUGCAAGUCGAACGGAAAGGCCCUGCUUUUGUGUGGUGCUCGAGUGGCGAACGGGUGAGUAACACGUGAGUAACCUCCCCUUGACUUUGGGAUAACUUCAUGAAACUGGGGCUAAUACCGGCUAGGAGCUCCUGCUGCCUGGUGGGGGUUGGAAAGUUUCGGCGGUUGGGGAUGGACUCUCGGCUUAUCAGCUUGUUGGUGGGGUAGUGGCUUACCAAGGCUUUGACGGGUAGCCGGCCUGAGAGGGUGACCGGCCACAUUGGGACUGAGAUACGGACCAGACUCCUACGGGAGGCAGCAGUGGGGAAUAUGGCACAAUGGGCGGAAGCCUGAUGCAGCAACGCCGCGUGCGGGAUGACGGCCUUCGGGUUGUAAACCGCUUUCGCCUGUGACGAAGAGUGAGUGACGGUAAUGGGUAAAGAAGCACCGGCUAACUACGUG
rnacentral:rRNA from 1 species